AGUUGUGUCCAAGAUCAUUAUUGAAUGCGGCCCCGACGGCAGGUUGAACGGAGAGGCCAACGUUUACUUCAGCUGCCACCAGGACGCCUUGGCCGCCAUGUCCAGAGACAGAAUGCACAUGGGAGAACGAUACAUCGAGUUAUUCCUCAACUCUGCACCAGACUCCAACUAAAGGAGGUGAACACACGGAUGCCAAACACACACAGACAGGAACAUUGUAUUUAUUUUACAGCCGGAUGUGGACAUCAAACAAUAAAAAUUACCACUGACAAAAUAAAAAACUGCAUUCACUGCAUUAGUUACAGGUUGAGAUCAACAACUUAUCAUUAAAGGUGCAUUCAACUGAGUAAUUUCAGUUAAGGUUAUACGUUUUAAAACAUGGCACAAAAUUCAGCCUGCUGGUGUUUUAAUCUGCCGGCAAUGUGAAGAUGAGUGAAACGUAAGAGUCAAGGCGUUAAUAAUGUCUCGUGUUAAAUUAGAAAUCAGUCUCUCUGUUUGUUCUUCAAACGUAUGUGUGAUAAAACAAUAAAUUAACAAAACACAGAA